UCAUGGGAAAUUUCAUUCUAGAUUUUAGAGAGUCAGCAGCCAAGCAACACAACUGAACUCGAUUAGGCAAAAUCCGGACAUAAAAAAUGCUAUAAAACUGACAGGUAACAAGUUCUUCAAAAGAGAUAAGCACAAUUUAAGCACCUAACACUGGUUCAAGGAGCAACUACAACCCUUCCAGCAACUUGAUCCAGAUCACGCCGUCCCUGGGAGGUAAUCAUCCUUCCCCUGUAACGCAAAAAGAAAAACAAAAAACAAAAAAGUUGACCUGAGAUAUUAUGCACAAUUAUAGGGACUAAAAACUCAUUUGGUUGCUUUUCCCAUUAAAUAUUAUCAACCAAGUGCAUCUGGUGUAACUAGAGUAUUUCCAACCUAUUCUGGCCAUAUACACGUCAAUGCUGAAGUACCCAUUGUGCAAUAUGUUUUGAAGUUAAAAUAAAGAAGCAAUCAGAAUGUAUAUAUACGGAAAAAAUAAGGUUUGCACUAUAUAAUCUGAGUACCAGAGCUAGUAGCCUACAAAUCCCUGGACUGGAAGGAAAAAACCAGAGUCCCAAGUUGAACAUCAUUUGGGAGAGUUUGAUGCAGAAUUUAGAGUGAAACAGUGAGUUCACUAAAAGAUAAGCCAAAAUAUAUUUUAAAAAGAGAAUAACCGAAUAAAUAAAAAAUGAUUUCAAAUAAAGGUUUGAAGCUGAAGCAGCAACCAACGGAUAAGUAGUACCAUCAGCAACAAAAAUAGCAGCAAAAAAAAAAUCAUAUUGUAGUAUGACAUAGUUCAGUAUUUUUUUUCAUUAUUAAGUCAUGAAGAACUCACGAAUGGUCCACAAAAUCAUGGAAAUAAACAUCUCGUAGACAAUUCAAUUUUCCCAGAUAUAUCAGAUAAGCACUAAACCAGAAAUAAGUGAAUACAAUUGCAGCUUUUCAACAGUCACAGAAUACUGAAAACUGUCAGGCAAUGGUAAAAACAUUGAUAGAUCUUAAUAACAGUGACAUUUCGGCCAAUAGAAUCAUUAUGCAACAUAUAGCAUCUUAUGAACAGUGUAAAUGACUACAUAUAAUAGUUCAUACUUCAUACCAAAUCAUAAUUAAUGAUUAUAUUGCUAACUUCAAUAAUCACCACGAUUGAAACCUUGGCCCAUAAUAGGAAAAGGUUGUGGUUUGAAGAGACCAAAGUAAUCUUCUAAAUCAUGAAAUGACUGGGAAUAUAUGAUAAUUUGGCCCUGAAGAAAACUUGUAGCAAUAAAGAAACCAAUCCUCACCCUUUAGCAUCAAAAUCAAUAAUGUCCAUCUCCUGCAACUGUUGCAGAAUGUGCCUAGCUAUUGCCCCACUGCUUUUGCAGAAAUG
rnacentral:lncRNA from 1 species